rnacentral:ncRNA from 2 species
GGAAAUAACACUCUGGUUUUCCGUAUAUGACACGAAUAUGGCGUGACGUUUCUACCAGGCACCGUAAAAGCCUGUCUAUGGAGGGACUUAUGAAGUCC